rnacentral:rRNA from 1 species
AAGUCGUAACAAGGUUUCCGUAGGUGAACCUGCGGAAGGAUCAUUACUGAGUGAGGGCCCUCUGGGUCCAACCUCCCACCCGUGUUUAUUGUACCUUGUUGCUUCGGUGCGCCCGCCUCACGGCCGCCGGGGGGCUUCUGCCCCCGGGCCCGCGCCCACCGAAGACACCAUUGAACUCUGUCUGAAGAUUGCAGUCUGAGCAUAAACUAAAUAAGUUAAAACUUUCAACAACGGAUCUCUUGGUUCCGGCAUCGAUGAAGAACGCAGCGAAAUGCGAUAAGUAAUGUGAAUUGCAGAAUUCAGUUAAUCAUCGAAUCUUUGAACGCACAUUGCGCUCGCCAGUAUUCUGGCGAGCAUGCCUGUUCGAGCGUCAUUUCAACCAUCAAGCUCUGCUUGCGUUGGGGAUCCGCGGCUGCCCGCGGUCCCUCAAAAACAGUGGCGGGCUCGCUAGUCACACCGAGCGUAGUAACUCUACAUCGCUAUGGUCGUGCGGCGGGUUCUUGCCGUAAAACCCCCCAAUUUCUAAGGUUGACCUCGGACCAGGUAGAAAUACCCGCUGAACUUAA